GGGUCAGUAGGUUGGUCGUGCCACCGGUACGUACUGGUCUCACUGAUUCCUCCUUCCUGAAUAACCGUAAUGCCAUUAAUUUGGUGUUGCGGGGAAACAGGACUGUUACUUUGAAAAGAUUAGAGUGUUUAAAGCAAACUAACGCUUGAAUACAUUAGCAUGGAAUAAUGAAAUAGGACGAUCGAUCCUAUUUUGUUGGUUUCUAGGAUUGACGUA
rnacentral:rRNA from 1 species